UACAAUGGAGAGUUUGAUCCUGGCUCAGGAUGAACGCUAGCGGCAGGCCUAAUACAUGCAAGUCGAACGAUAGCGAGGGGCUUGCUCCUCGCAAAAGUGGCGCACGGGUGCGUAACGCGUAUGCAACCUGCCUCUGUCUGGGGGAUAGCCCGGAGAAAUCCGGAUUAAUACCGCAUAAAAUCACAGUACGGCAUUGUACAAUGAUCAAACAUUUAUGGGA
rnacentral:rRNA from 1 species